rnacentral:rRNA from 1 species
GACGAACGCUGGCGGCGUGCUUAACACAUGCAAGUCGAGCGGUGAAGGGGAGCUUGCUCCCCGGAUCAGUGGCGAACGGGUGAGUAACACGUGGGCAACCUGCCCCAGACUUCGGGAUAACGCUUCGAAAGAGGUGCUAAUACCGGAUACGAACUCCUUGGGCAUCCUUGGGGUUGGAAAGUUUUUCGGUCUGGGAUGGGCCCGCGGCCUAUCAGCUUGUUGGUGAGGUAACGGCUCACCAAGGCGACGACGGGUAGCCGGCCUGAGAGGGCGACCGGCCACACUGGGACUGAGACACGGCCCAGACUCCUACGGGAGGCAGCAGUGGGGAAUAUUGCGCAAUGGGCGAAAGCCUGACGCAGCAACGCCGCGUGAGGGAUGACGGCCUUCGGGUUGUAAACCUCUUUCAGCAGGGAAGAAGCGAAAGUGACGGUACCUGCGGAAGAAGCACCGGCUAACUACGUGCCAGCAGCCGCCGUAA